GACGAACGCUGGCGGCGUGCCUAAUACAUGCAAGUAGAACGCUGAAGGAGGAGCUUGCCCUUCUGGAUGAGUUGCGAACGGGUGAGUAACGCGUAGGUAACCUGCCUGGUAGCGGGGGAUAACUAUUGGAAACGAUAGCUAAUACCGCAUAACAGUAGAUGUUGCAUGAGAUUUACUUAAAAGGUGCAAUUGCAUCACUACCAGAUGGACCUGCGUUGUAUUAGCUAGUUGGUGGGGUAACGGCUCACCAAGGCGACGAUACAUAGCCGACCUGAGAGGGGGGUCGGCCACACUGGGACUGAGACACGGCCCAGACUCCUACGGGAGGCAGCAGUAGGGAAUCUUCGGCAAUGGGCGGAAGGCUGACCGAGCAACGCCGCGGGAGUGAAGAAGGUUUUCGGAUCGUAAAGCUCUGUUGUAAGAGAAGAACGAGUGUGAGAGUGGAAAGUGCACACUGUGACGGUAGCUUACCAGAAAGGGACGGCUAACUACGUG
rnacentral:rRNA from 1 species